rnacentral:rRNA from 1 species
UUAGCCCUAAACUUCAAUAAUUUAAAUAACAAGACUACUCGCCAGAACACUACAAGCAACAGCUUAAAACUCAAAGGACUUGGCGGUGCUUCACAUCCCCCUAGAGGAGCCUGUUCUAUAAUCGAUAAACCCCGAUCCACCCUACCAUCUCUCGCUCAGCCUAUAUACCGCCAUCUUCAGCAAACCUCAACAAGAGAUCCAAAGUAAGCAUAAACGCUCACGCAAAAACGUUAGGUCAAGGUGUAGCUUAUGAGAUGGGAGAAAUGGGCUACAUUUUCUAUGCCAGAAAAUUCCACGAUAACUCUUAUGAAACCUAGGAGUCUAAGGAGGAUUUAGUAGUAAAUAAGAAUAGAGUGCUUAAUUGAAUUAGGCCAUGAAGCAUGC